CGUGCGGCUGGACGAUGGCCAGCGUCUGCACGCCGCAGGCGCGCAGCCAGCGCGCGAGCGCGGGCAGGUCGGCGGGCUCCGGCACCCACAGCGCGCGU
rnacentral:tRNA from 1 species